rnacentral:rRNA from 1 species
UGGAUCCAGACUUUGAUUCUGGCUCAGGAUGAACGCUAGCUACAGGCUUAACACAUUGCAAGUCGAGGGGAAACGAUAUUGGAAGCUUGCUUCCGAUAGGCGUCGACCGGCGCACGGGUGAGUAACGCGUAUCCAACCUGCCCACCACUUGGGAAUAACCUUGCGAAAGUAAGACUAAUACCCAAUGAUAUCUCUAGAAGACAUCUGAAGGAGAUUAAAGAUUUAUCGGUGAUGGAUGGGGAUGCGUCUGAUUAGCUUGUUGGCGGGGUAACGGCCCACCAAGGCGACGAUCAGUAGGGGUUCUGAGAGGAAGGUCCCCCACAUUGGAACUGAGACACGGUCCAAACUCCUACGGGAGGCAGCAGUGAGGAAUAUUGGUCAAUGGGCGAGAGCCUGAACCAGCCAAGUAGCGUGCAGGAUGACGGCCCUAUGGGUUGUAAACUGCUUUUAUAAGGGAAUAAAGUGAGUCUCGUGAGACUUUUUGCAUGUACCUUAUGAAUAAGGACCGGCUAAUUCCGUGCCAGCAGCCGCGGUAAUACGGAAGGUCCGGGCGUUAUCCGGAUUUAUUGGGUUUAAAGGGAGCGUAGGCCGGAGAUUAAGCGUGUUGUGAAAUGUAGAUGCUCAACAUCUGCACUGCAGCGCGAACUGGUUUCCUUGAGUACGCACAAAGUGGGCGGAAUUCGUGGUGUAGCGGUGAAAUGCUUAGAUAUCACGAAGAACUCCGAUUGCGAAGGCAGCUCACUGGAGCGCAACUGACGCUGAAGCUCGAAAGUGCGGGUAUCGAACAGGAUUAGAUACCCUGGUAGUCCGCACGGUAAACGAUGGAUGCCCGCUGUUGGUCUGAAUAGGUCAGCGGCCAAGCGAAAGCAUUAAGCAUCCCACCUGGGGAGUACGCCGGCAACGGUGCAACUCAAAUGAAUUGACGGA